AGUGAACGCUGGCGGUAGGCCUAACACAUGCAAGUCGAACGGCAGCACAGGAGAGCUUGCUCUCUGGGUGGCGAGUGGCGGACGGGUGAGGAAUACAUCGGAAUCUGCCCAGUCGUGGGGGAUAACGUAGGGAAACUUACGCUAAUACCGCAUACGACCUUCGGGUGAAAGAGGGGGAUCGCAAGACCUCUCGCGAUUGGAUGAGCCGAUGUCGGAUUAGCUAGUUGGCGGGGUAAUGGCCCACCAAGGCGACGAUCCGUAGCUGGUCUGAGAGGACGAUCAGCCACACUGGAACUGAGACACGGUCCAGACUCCUACGGGAGGCAGCAGUGGGGAAUAUUGGACAAUGGGCGCAAGCCUGAUCCAGCCAUACCGCGUGGGUGAAGAAGGCCUUCGGGUUGUAAAGCCCUUUUGUUGGGAAAGAAAUCUUUCAGGCUAAUACCCUGGGAGGAUGACGGUACCCAAAGAAUAAGCACCGGCUAACUUCGUG
rnacentral:rRNA from 1 species